CGCAAGGUGCUGACGAGUGGCGAACGGGUGAGUAAUGCAUCGGAACGUGCCCAAUCGUGGGGGAUAACGCAGCGAAAGCUGUGCUAAUACCGCAUACGAUCUGUGGAUGAAAGCGGGGGACCUUCGGGCCUCGCGCGAUUGGAGCGGCCGAUGUCAGAUUAGCUAGUUGGUGGGGUAAAGGCCCACCAAGGCGACGAUCUGUAGCUGGUCUGAGAGGACGACCAGCCACACUGGAACUGAGACACGGUCCAGACUCC
rnacentral:rRNA from 1 species